AUGUCGGAUUCAGGCUCGUCCUCAAGCGCCGAAACGGUCAUUUCACUCCACGCACCGUCGACCGACCUACUUGAGUGCCGAUCCCCGCUAGAGACCGCUCCAGAGGGCUGGAAAUGGAUGACCGGGCCAGGCAAUUGCCUCCCCCGCCUAGUCAAAAACUACCAUCUCCAAAUGUACGCAGCGGACACAACACCGGUGCCGCAAGACAGCACUCCAUCCGCUUCUCAUUCCGCUACCCACCCCGCUACUUCUUCCGCCAUCCCACCUGUUGUUUCUCCCGCUAAUCAACCCGCCCCCCGCGUCAACCCUCCACCUAUCACUAACAAUCGCUCAGGCCAGCCACCGGCCGCAUCAGCGUGUAAUUUUUGUGGCGACAAGCACAUUUCGCACCGGUGCCCGGAGUUGACAUCCUGCACCCCCGCGGGUCGCUACGAGAGGGUGAUUGCGGCGGGUAGGUGUGUCAAUUGUUUCGGGUCACACCGCCUGCCGGCUUGCAGGUCUCCGCGGGUGUGCCAGUCCUGUGGAGGGCGGCACCACUCAUUGCUCCAUGGAUUUUAUGAGAAGCCAAAAGCGCCCCCUCCACAGGUCGAGCACGCUGGCGCGGAGGUCUUCCAGAAGCUGGCAGAAAGGGCCACGAUCGAGAAGACUCAGGAGCAGCGAAACCGCGAGGAGUUGAUCGCAACCUGCCGCGAAGCCAUGACCGCUCUUGAGGCGGCCCAAGUGGAGCUGGGGAGGCUGCGCAGGCAGCGGGACCAUGAGGUCCUCGAGUUCCGCCGCUGGCGAACGGAGCAAAGUGCCUUAAAGGACGAGCUGCUCCGCGAGCGGGAGGCCAUCGCUGAGGACAUUGCGCAAUUGAAGGCGGCACGGGCCCAGCUGUUUGCGCCGCCCCCCCAGCCCAGUUGGGUGCCCCCCCCGCCUAGCUUGCCGCCCCCCACUCUCCCUCAAAUGGAUUGCUCCUGCGAGGUGUGCAGGGUCGCUGCGAGGCACCGGGUAGGCAUUCCCUAUUGA
rnacentral:lncRNA from 1 species